rnacentral:rRNA from 1 species
UUCGUAGGUGGCAAGCGUUGUUCGGAAUUAUUGGGCGUAAAGAGCGCGUAGGCGGCCGAGUACGUCCGACGUGAAAUCUGGAGGCUCAACCUCCAGCGGUCGUUGGAAACUACUCGGCUAGAGUCCGGAAGAGGAGAGUGGAAUUCCUGGUGUAGCGGUGAAAUGCGCAGAUAUCAGGAAGAACACCGAUGGCGAAAGCAGCUCUCUGGGACGGUACUGACGCUGAGGCGCGAAAGCGUGGGGAGCGAACAGG